UACUGUAUGGUUGAUGUGUUGAGAUUAGGCUACAAGGUUUUGAGGGCAAACAGAGAAAUGUGAUUUCUCUUUUUAAUCAUUCAAUGGUUCAGGGACUCUUUCAGCUGCCAUAACUUGAAUUCUGUGUAUUCAAUUUCAACGGUUUUAUGAUUUUAGAAAGAGGCCAUCUAGCAAAGAUCGUGAUGUCAUACAAUAUAGGUCUUUGCAAUCUUAUUUGUGAAGCCAUUAGCAUUCGCAAACUUACAUAAUUAUGUGGAAACAUUGUAUAAAUACGGUACAUGUUAGUGUGUGUAUGGUAGAUUGGAUUGGAUCUGUACAGGCUAUGGGAAGUGUAUGGUGCCUCUUAACUGCUACUUGCGAAGACAACCCGGCUAUAGGACCAUCCUAGACGUACAUGUAGUAGAUGAGAGCCUUAAAAUUAGUGUUCAAGCUAUUAGUUUUGCUACACACACACCGUCCCUGAGGGCCUCCCACCCACCCAUACACACACACACACACCCUCUCUGAGGGCCUCCCACCCACACACACACACACACACACACACACACACAGAUUGCGUACACUGGUGUCCCCCCCACACACACACACACACACACACACACACACACACACACACACACACACACACACACACACACAGAUUGCGUACACUGGUGUCCCACACACACACACACACACACACACACACACACACACACACACACACACACACACACAGAUUGCGUACACUGGUGUCCCACACACACACACACACACACACACACACACACACACACACACACACACACACACACACACACAGAUUGCGUACACUGGUGUCCCACACACACACACACACACACACACACACACACACACACCCUCCUCCCCCAUACACACACCACACACACACACGUACACACACACAGACACACACACGCACACGCGCACACACACAUACACACACACACACACAGCUUGCGUACACUGGUGUCCCAUACUUCCUGGCAGAGUUUGAUGAUGGGAGAAAUGUGUUCACAAGACCAUUUUCUUACCAACUCACGCAGACAAACAACCAGAUCACUGAAUAUAGGUUAUAGUAUGUUUCUACUACUGUGAGCUCAUGAGGUAAACAGCACUCUCAAGUGAGUAGGUAAGAACAUAUUCGUGAGUCUCGUCACACCGACAAUGCACACCUCUAACCUUUCUAUUGCAUACUCAGCAAAUGUCUCUUCCACAAAUCUGUCAUCAUACCUAUCGAGUGAACACACAAACUGUUCUAGUUCCUGGAACAAUACGUACGGACGUCUCUCUCCAAUUUGGAAGGGAGGUGUUGGCUGCUCCUCUCGUUCUGAAUCUGCCCAAUUGGAUCAACUGGAAGUCGUGUCUGGCAACAAAGGACAAGGAGACGAAAGCUGCUCUAGAAAUGAGGAAGAACUUUGAACCAUGUUAUUUUGAUUUCACAUGCAACUGACAACGAUGAUUAAUUUCUUUAUUUUCACUUUUACUUUUGUAUAAUUGAUGUUUUGUGUAUUAGCUAGUUGUCCAAUAAUAAUUAUGGUUGGCCAUAUA